rnacentral:rRNA from 1 species
CCAGACUCCUACGGGAGGCAGCAGUGAGGAAUAUUGGUCAAUGGGCGCAAGCCUGAACCAGCCAAGUCGCGUGAGGGAUGACGGUCCUAUGGAUUGUAAACCUCUUUUGUCGGGGAGCAAGGCCCGCCACGUGUGGCGGGAAGGAGAGUACCCGAAGAAAAAGCAUCGGCUAACUCCGUGCCAGCAGCCGCGGUAAUACGGAGGAUGCGAGCGUUAUCCGGAUUUAUUGGGUUUAAAGGGUGCGCAGGCGGCGAGUUAAGUCAGCGGUAAAAUUUCGGGGCUCAACCCCGACAAGCCGUUGAAACUGGCUUGCUAGAGUGGGCGAGAAGUAUGCGGAAUGCGUGGUGUAGCGGUGAAAUGCAUAGAUAUCGCGCAGAACUCCGAUUGCGAAGGCAGCAUGCCGGCUCCACACUGACGCUGAGGCACGAAAGCGUGGGUAUCGAACAGGAUUAGAUACCCUUGUAA